GGGGGUGAAACGGGUUCGACGGGGAUAUAAAAGCUCAGGUUGCAUGCCGAGAAUUCUAUCUUUCUCGUAAACAUUGAUAGAACGCUAAAUAUAGUCGCAGAUGACUAUGCAUAUGCUGUGGCAGCAUAAAUAAGCCACUGCUCCUUCCGGUUAUUCCUGCGGACCGGUCUGGGGCAUCGACUAGCGGGAUAGCCCCUGAUUUCUCGGGUGGAUCAACGGGCGAAACAAAACACCUGAUAGUGCCGAAACCUCCUCGUCCCGGUGGAGAUGAGGCACGAUAAGCCUUGAAGCGGGAAUAAGCAUGUAGACGCCUGCAGGGGAGUAUUUCCGGACGGGGGUUCAACUCCCCCCACCUCCACCA
rnacentral:tmRNA from 1 species